rnacentral:rRNA from 1 species
AUUGAACGCUGGCGGCAGGCCUAACACAUGCAAGUCGAGCGGAUGAAGGGAGCUUGCUCCUGGAUUCAGCGGCGGACGGGUGGGUAAUGCCUAUGAAUCUGCCUGGUAUUGGGGGAUAACGUCCUGAAACGGGCGCUAAUACUGCAUACGUCCUGAGGUAGAAAGUGGGGGGUCUUCCGAUCUCACGCUAUGAGAUGAGCCUAGGUCGGAUUAGCUAGUUGGUGGGGUAAAGGCCUACCAAGGCGACGAUCCGUAACUGGUCUGAGAGGAUGAUCAGUCACACUGGAACUGAGACACGGUCCAGACUCCUACGGGAGGCAGCAGUGGGGAAUAUUGGACAAUGGGCGAAAGCCUGAUCCAGCCAUGCCGCGUGUGUGAAGAAGGUCUUCGGAUUGUAAAGCACUUUAAGUUGGGAGGAAGGGCAGUAAGUUAAUACCUUGCUGUUUUGACGUUACCAACAGAAUAAGCACCGGCUAACUUCGUG